GAUGAACGCUGGCGGCGUGCCUAAUACAUGCAAGUCGAGCGAACAGACGAGGAGCUUGCUCCUCUGACGUUAGCGGCGGACGGGUGAGUAACACGUGGAUAACCUACCUAUAAGACUGGGAUAACUUCGGGAAACCGGAGCUAAUACCGGAUAAUAUAUUGAACCGCAUGGUUCAAUAGUGAAAGACGGUUUUGCUGUCACUUAUAGAUGGAUCCGCGCCGCAUUAGCUAGUUGGUAAGGUAACGGCUUACCAAGGCAACGAUGCGUAGCCGACCUGAGAGGGUGAUCGGCCACACUGGAACUGAGACACGGUCCAGACUCCUACGGGAGGCAGCAGUAGGGAAUCUUCCGCAAUGGGCGAAAGCCUGACGGGGCAACGCCGCGUGAGUGAUGAAGGUCUUCGGAUCGUAAAACUCUGUUAUUAGGGAAGAACAAAUGUGUAAGUAACUAAGCACGUCUUGACGGUACCUAAUCAGAAAGCCACGGCUAACUACGUGC
rnacentral:rRNA from 1 species